rnacentral:rRNA from 2 species
CCUAGUAACUGCGAGUGAAGCGGGAAAAGCUCAAAUUUAAAAUCUGGCAGGUGUUUGUCUGUCCGAGUUGUAACCUAGAGAAGUGUAACCUGUGCUGGACCGUGUACAAGUCUCCUGGAAUGGAGCAUCAUAGAGGGUGAGAAUCCCGUCUUUGACAUGGACUACCAGUGCACUGUGGUUGCGCACUCAACGAGUCGAGUUGUUUGGGAAUGCAGCUCUAAAUGGGUGGUAAAUUCCAUCUAAAGCUAAAUAUUGGCGAGAGACCGAUAGCGAACAAGUACCGUGAGGGAAAGAUGAAAAGAACUUUGGAAAGAGAGUUAAACAGUAUGUGAAAUUGUUGAAAGGGAAACGCUUGAAGUCAGCUGCAUUGGCUGGGGAUCAAGCCAGCUUUUUUGCUGGGUGUACUUCCUGGUUGAUGGGCCAACAUCAGUUUUGACCAUCAGAGAAAGGCCAAGGGAAUGUGGCACCUGUAUAGGUGUGUUAUAGCCCUUGGUUGUAUGUGAUGGUUGGGACUGAGGAUAGCAGCGUGCCACAAGGCCGGGUUUCGACCACGUUCACGCUUUGGAUGUUGGCAUAAUGGCUUUAAGCGACCCGUCUUGAAACACGGACCAAGGAGUCUAACAUACAUGCAAGUGUUUGAGUGGAAAACUCAAGCGCGUAAUGAAAGUGAAAGUUGAGAUCCCUCUCACANGGGAGCAUCGACGCCCGGACCAGAACUUUUGGGACGGAUCUGCGGUAGAGCAUGCAUG